UCAAGCUACUAAGGGCAUACGGUGGAUGCCUAGGCGCCAAGAGCCGAAGAAGGACGCGGUAAGCUGCGAAAAGCCACGGGGAACUGCAAGCAAGUAUUGAUCCGUGGAUAUCCGAAUGGGGAAACCCGGCCAUCGUCAUGGAUGGUCACCCGCAAGGGAGGGAACCUGGGGAACUGAAACAUCUAAGUACCCGGAGGAAGAGAAAUCAAACGAGAUGCCCACAGUAGCGGCGAGCGAAGAGGGCAGAGCCCAAACCGAGAAGCUCCGGCUUUUCGGGGUUGAGGACCGGCAGAAUCGAAGUCAGGCCUAGUUGAAUUACCUGGAAAGGUAAGCGAGAGAGGGUAAAAGCCCCGUAGACGAAAGGCAGAGCAGAGAGGCCGAGAUCCAGAGUACCACGAAGCACGAGGAAUUUUGUGGGAAGCAGGGGGGACCACCCUCCAAGGCUAAAAACUACUUGGCGACCGAUAGCGCAUAGUACCGUGAGGGAAAGGUGAAAAGAACCCCGGGAGGGGAGUGAAAUAGUACCUGAAACCUUGUGCUUACAAGCAGUCAGAGCACGUUAAAGUGUGAUGGCGUACCUUUUGUAGAAUGGUCCGGCGAGUUAUAGUCACUGGCGAGGUUAAGCAAUUCAGUUGUGGAGCCGAAGGGAAACCGAGUCUUAAUAGGGCGUCGAGUCAGUGGCCAUAGACCUGAAACCGGGUGACCUAUCCAUGAGCAGGUUGAAGUUGGUGUAAAAGCCAAUGGAGGACCGAACCCACGUUCGUUGCAAUGACCGGGGAUGACUUGUGGAUAGCGGAGAAAUUCCAAUCGAACUCGGAGAUAGCUGGUUCUCCCCGAAAUAGCUUUAGGGCUAGCGUUGUGUUAGUUUACCGGAGGUAGAGCACUGAAUUGGCUAAGGGGCGAUGAGCUUACUGAACCUUAUCAAACUUCGAAUGCCGGAUAAAUGGUGCACAGCAGUCAGACAGUGUGAGAUAAGUUUCAUUGUCAAGAGGGAAACAGCCCAGACCCACAGCUAAGGUCCCAAAUGAACGCUAAGUGGAAAACGAUGUGGGGUUGCAAAAACAACCAGGAUGUUGGCUUAGAGGCAGCCACUCAUUAAAAGAGUGCGUAAUAGCUCACUGGUCGAGUGACCCUGCGCGGAAAAUAUAACGGGGCUAAGCGUCCAACCGAAGCUUGGGAUGUCUAAGGACAUGGUAGGGGAGCGUCGUGUAUAGGGAGAAGCAUGAGCGAGAGCACAUGUGGACAGUACACGAGUGAGAAUGCCGGAAUGAGUAGCGAGAAUUAUGUGGGAAUCAUAAUGGCCGAAAAUCUAAGGUUUCUUGGGGAAGGUUCGUCCGCCCAAGGUAAGCCGGGAGCUAAGGCGAGGCCGAAAGGCGUAGUCGAUGCACAUACGGUUGAAAUUCCGUAGCCGCCGAAAUUGUUAAGCACAGGGACACAUAGAGAUAUCCGAACCCGGGCGUUGGUUGACCCGGGCGCAAGGGACCGAACAUCAGUAGGGAAGUCGGAGAUGCUCUGUGGCGAGAAAAGCUGUGUGUAUUGAUUAGGCGCCCGUACCGCAAACCGACACAGGUAGAUGAGGAGAGAAUCCUAAGGCCAACGGGAGAAGGGUUGUUAAGGAACUCGGCAAAUUGACCCCGUAACUUCGGGAUAAGGGGAGCCUCCUACGGGAGGCCGCAGUGAAUAGGCCCAAGCAACUGUUUACCAAAAACACAGGUCUCUGCUAAAUCGAAAGAUGACGUAUAGGGGCUGACGCCUGCCCGGUGCCGGAAGGUUAAGAGGAGAGCUUAGCGCAAGCGAAGGUUCGAAUUGAAGCCCCGGUAAACGGCGGCCGUAACUAUAACGGUCCUAAGGUAGCGAAAUUCCUUGUCAGGUAAGUUCUGACCCGCACGAAUGGCGUAAUGAUUUGGGCACUGUCUCAACAGCCCGCCCGGCGAAAUUGUAGUACUGGUGAAGAUGCCAGUUACCCGCAACUAGACGGAAAGACCCCAUGGAGCUUUACUGUAGCCUAAUACUGAAGAUCGGUAAUGCAUGUACAGGAUAGGUGGGAGCCAGCGAAACCCGGGCGUCAGCUCGGAUGGAGGCAACCUUGGAAUACCACCCUUGUAUUGCUGGUUUUCUAACCUGCGGCCAUGAAUCUGGUCGGGGGACACUGUUAGGUGGGCAGUUUGACUGGGGCGGUCGCCUCCAAAAGCGUAACGGAGGCGCUCAAAGGUUGGCUCAGCACGGACGGAAAUCGUGCAUAGAGUGCAAACGCAUAAGCCAACUUGACUGCGAGACCGACGGGUCGAGCAGGUACGAAAGUAGGAGUUAGUGAUCCGGUGGUAUGUGAGUGGAAAUGCCAUCGCUCAACGGAUAAAA
rnacentral:rRNA from 1 species